CGGGACGUGGCGCAGCCUGGUAGCGUACCUGAAUGGGGUUCAGGGGGUCGCGAGUUCAAAUCUCGCCGUCCCGACCA
rnacentral:tRNA from 1 species